rnacentral:rRNA from 1 species
UACGUAGGGGGCUAGCGUUGUCCGGAAUCAUUGGGCGUAAAGCGCGCGUAGGCGGCCCGGUAAGUCCGUUGUGAAAGUCAAAGGCUCAACCUUUGAAAGCCGAUGGAUACUGCCGGGCUGGAGUCCGGAAGAGGCGAGUGGAAUUCCUGGUGUAGCGGUGGAAUGCGCAGAUAUCAGGAGGAACACCAAUAGCGAAGGCAGCUCGCUGGGACGGUACUGACGCUGAGGCGCGAAAGCCAGGGGAGCAAACGGG